rfam:Felis catus isolate Cinnamon breed Abyssinian chromosome B1, whole genome shotgun sequence.
AACAGUGUCACGUAUCUGGCUUCCACAUGGGUCUCCCCAGAACUCCAAGCUUAAUUUGGCUGCUCUGGCCAGGCCGGUGUCUGUUUUCUGUCUCACUGGCCACGCAUCUCCUUUCUGCAUCUGUAACUUUGUCAAAGAGGUUGUUCUUCCCAAAGACUGGGGGACUCCUUUUCUGCAAGCUAUGUUUCAGUAACUAAGCUUCCCUGAAGGAACCUCCAAACAUGCUCUCAGUCACUAUUUGUGGGAGAACAUGGAGAGGAUUGCCAGAGAGAAGAAAGCCUUCAGUGUUCCUAGGGUUACAUAGAGCACAUGAUAAUAACU